UGGGGAAUAUUGCGCAAUGGGGGGAACCCUGACGCAGCCAUGCCGCGUGAAUGAAGAAGGCCUUAGGGUUGUAAAGUUCUUUCGGUAUUGAGGAAGGUUGAUGUGUUAAUAGCACAUCAAAUUGACGUUAAAUACAGAAGAAGCACCGGCUAACUCCGUGCCAGCAGCCGCGGUAAUACGGAGGGUGCGAGCGUUAAUCGGAAUAACUGGGCGUAAAGGGCACGCAGGCGGUUAUUUAAGUGAGGUGUGAAAGCCCCGGGCUUAACCUAGGAAUUGCAUUUCAGACUGGGUAACUAGAGUACUUUAGGGAGGGGUAGAAUUCCACGUGUAGCGGUGAAAUGCGUAGAGAUGUGGAGGAAUACCGAAGGCGAAGGCAGCCCCUUGGGAAUGUACUGACGCUCAUGUGCGAAAGCGUGGGGAGCAAACAGGAUUAGAUACCCUGGUAGUCCACGCUGUAAACGCUGUCGAUUUGGGGGUUGGGGUUUAACUCUGGCGCCCGUAGCUAACGUGAUAAAUCGACCGCCUGGGGAGUACGGCCGCAAGGUUA
rnacentral:rRNA from 1 species